GGCCCAGUGGGGCGUGCUAUACUGCAAGUCGAGCGGACAGAAGGGAGCUUGCUCCCGGAUGUUAGCGGCGGACGGGUGAGUAACACGUGGGUAACCUGCCUGUAAGACUGGGAUAACUCCGGGAAACCGGAGCUAAUACCGGAUAGUUCCUUGAACCGCAUGGUUCAAGGAUGAAAGACGGUUUCGGCUGUCACUUACAGAUGGACCCGCGGCGCAUUAGCUAGUUGGUGAGGUAACGGCUCACCAAGGCGACGAUGCGUAGCCGACCUGAGAGGGUGAUCGGCCACACUGGGACUGAGACACGGCCCAGACUCCUACGGGAGGCAGCAGUAGGGAAUCUUCCGCAAUGGACGAAAGUCUGACGGAGCAACGCCGCGUGAGUGAUGAAGGUUUUCGGAUCGUAAAGCUCUGUUGUUAGGGAAGAACAAGUGCAAGAGUAACUGCUUGCACCUUGACGGUACCUAACCAGAAAGCCACGGCUAACUACGUGCCAGCAGCCGCGGUAAUACGUAGGUGGCAAGCGUUGUCCGGAAUUAUUGGGCGUAAAGGGCUCGCAGGCGGUUUCUUAAGUCUGAUGUGAAAGCCCCCGGCUCAACCGGGGAGGGUCAUUGGAAACUGGGAAACUUGAGUGCAGAAGAGGAGAGUGGAAUUCCACGUGUAGCGGGUGAAAUGCGUAGAGAUGU
rnacentral:rRNA from 1 species